rnacentral:lncRNA from 1 species
CACGCCCCGGGGUCCCUUUUAGUUUAAAACAUAGCGGAAAAGCGUCUGAAAUUUUUUUUUUUUUUUUUUUUUUUUUUUGAAAACCUGACCCCAGAGUAUGCCAGAUCCGCCACAAAUACAGGGAAUCCACUGUUCACACGGACAGAGUCUCCCCUGUAUUUGCACGGCGUCACACAAGUACAAGAAGUAACCCAGGUACAACCACAACCAAAUGAACAUACAAAUAACCAACAACUAUAUAUUCAUAUACCAUUCACAUCACAGGUUCACAUUUAUAUAAUCGAUAUUUAAACAUAAAUCCACAGAAAACCUUUUAAAAACAGUUUCCUACACGGAAACCUUUAUUCUUUAAAAACGCUACCACGAGGGGUAGAAAACUUUUUAUUUCACAAAAUUCAUUUAUUACAUUCACGAAAAUCCAUAUUUUCAAAUGUAAUAAAAAUACUGAACCAUAUAACUGUCUAAGCUAUAACAACUGAAAUACUAAGGGUAAUAACUAUACCGAAAAAACCUGGGUCGGAAGCUCUAUCGUCCUCUACACACGUACCUCACGUCUCGUCCCACUACUCAACGCCCGCGAUACCUGAAAAAUGGUGGGGGAGGUGAGAACAUGUAAACAUGUCUCCCCUCCCAGUGAGUACCGCAAGCCGAAGAAGGCGAGGAGUACUUACUGGAUCAGGAAGAACUAUACAACAACAUGGGUCAGUGGAAAUAAACAAAGUAAUGAGCAGAUAUACAAUAGCAAUAAACUGAAAGGAAGUAAGAACUAUACUGAAUAAACGGCUACCGCUACUGUAACUAGAACAGAAAGCAUACAUGAAUAUCUACUAUAGUAGCAAGACAACUAUAAGGUAAGAUCUGUAAGUAUGCAUGCAACGACUGCUACUAUAAACAUAUGCGUCAAUGGGACAAUCAGUCCAAAAGUACCCAAUCUGAAACCAAUGCUCUCUUGGUCAGCACCGCAGACCUCAAGCCAAUGCCCUGGAGGUCCGCACCGCAACACCUCCCGACAGUACCACUGUCGCUCUAACAUGCAUAUAACCCCUCUAGGGCUCACGGGUUGUCACCAUUCAACCACUUUUCCGGAAAAGAACACUCCUUGCGGUGGAUCAGACCGCCAGUGUUCGUGAAAUGCAACGAGUAUCGGGCGAUCAAUGCAAUAUGGUCAAUGAUCAACCGUCGGCAACCAGCCGACAAUCCUGCCCCCCAGGGCCUAUCGACCGCAUAGGUCAUCAACUGUAAAGAAGCACAAGAACCGACCACUCAGGUCAACUAGGAUGGGACAACAUCGACAUCCUCUCAAACAUAUGCAAAUACUGACUAAUCAAGUCAACUGGGAUGGAACAACUCAACAUCCUACCCACAGUAUGUAAAUACUGAUCAAUGAGUCAACUACUGUAUAUAUGCAAGAAUCGGUCAACAAGUCAUCUGAGUAUAUGAUCUAGAACUACCGUCGGCCACUAGUCGACAAUCCUACCCCUCAGGGUACACCGACCUCAAAGGUCAUCAAACAACAAGAGUCAAGGAACAAACCGACUAUUUACAGAUAUAAGAUACAAGAACGAAUCAACUAGGUCACCGAUUU